GACGAACGCUGGCGGCGUGCUUAACACAUGCAAGUCGAGCGGAAAGGCCACUUCGGUGGUACUCGAGCGGCGAACGGGUGAGUAACACGUGAGUAAUCUGCCCCUCACUUUGGGAUAGCCACCGGAAACGGUGAUUAAUACCGGAUAUGACCAUAUGUCGCAUGGCGUGUGGUGGAAAGUUUUUCGGUGAGGGAUGUGCUCGCGGCCUAUCAGCUUGAUGGUGAGGUAAUGGCUCACCAUGGCUUCGACGGGUAGCCGGCCUGCGAGGGUGACCGGUCACACUGGGACUGAGACACGGCCCAGACUCCUACGGGAGGCAGCAGUGGGGAAUAUUGGACAAUGGGCGGAAGCCUGAUCCAGCAACGCCGCGUGAGGGAUGACGGCCUUCGGGUUGUAAACCUCUUUCAGUACCGACGAAGCGCAAGUGACGGUAGGUACAGAAGAAGCACCGGCCAACUACGUG
rnacentral:rRNA from 1 species